rnacentral:tRNA from 1 species
GGCAACGUGGCCGAGUGGUCUAAGGCGCUGGAAUUAGGAUCCUUCCGAAUUAUCCAGUCCUCCGGGGCGUGAGUUCGAACCUCACCGUUGUCA